rnacentral:rRNA from 1 species
UAGGGCUUCACACGUCAUACAAUGGUCGGUACAGAGGGUUGCCAAGCCGCGAGGUGGAGCCAAUCCCUUAAAGCCGAUCGUAGUCCGGAUCGUAGUCUGCAACUCGACUACGUGAAGUCGGAAUCGCUAGUAAUCGCAGAUCAGCAUGCUGCGGUGAAUACGUUCCCGGGUCUU